UCUCAAACACACCUUCAAACACAUGCAAAAACCAAAAUAAAAACUUUGUCAGCGCUUAUAUAGUCCAGACGGCACAAAACCCAUCAACUAUACAUGCAUAUAUAUAGAGAAAUUUUGACCCUUUUGGGCUUGAUGAUUCUGUUGCUAUUUUCGGUUUCUGGUUAUUUAUAUGGAAAGAGAAUUAAAAAGAUAUGAUUGAUUAGAGUAUUACCACAACUGAUUGAAAGAAGAAUGAAUGUGAAUAUAUUUUGGUAAUAUUAAGAGACUGCUGAUAUUUUGAUGAGAUCUUUAGACAAGAUGAGAGAUUGAAAUGCCGAGAAUUGCUAUGGAAGAUUUUAGUAAAUAUUUAGGGAAAAUUGGGGAGCAG
rnacentral:lncRNA from 1 species